GACGAACGCUGGCGGCGUGCCUAAUACAUGCAAGUAGAACGCUGAAGGAGGAGCUUGCUUCUCCGGAUGAGUUGCGAACGGGUGAGUAACGCGUAGGUAACCUGCCUGGUAGCGGGGGAUAACUAUUGGAAACGAUAGCUAAUACCGCAUAAGAGUAGAUGUCGCAUGACAUUUGCUUAAAAGGUGCAACUGCACCACUACCAGAUGGACCUGCGCUGUAUUAGCUAGUUGGUGAGGUAACGGCUCACCAAGGCAACGAUACAUAGCCGACCUGAGAGGGUGCUCGGCCACCCUGGGACUGCGACACGGCCCAGACUCCUACGGGAGGCAGCAGUAGGGAAUCUUCGGCAAUGGACGGAAGUCUGACCGAGCAACGCCGCGUGAGUGAAGAAGGUUUUCGGAUCGUAAAGCUCUGUUGUAAGAGAAGAACGAGUGUGAGAGUGGAAAGUUCACACUGUGACGGUAUCUUACCAGAAAGGGACGGCUAACUACGUG
rnacentral:rRNA from 1 species